AUCCUUUUGUAGUUCAUAAGCGUGAUGAUUGGGUGUUCACGGGGCUGCGUAUGUGACGUGUGCCUCCCUCGAUCCUUGUUACGACAGUGGCACAUUACCCAUCUGACG
rnacentral:snoRNA from 1 species